CUGGUUGAUCCUGCCAGUAGUCAUAUGCUUGUCUCAAAGAUUAAGCCAUGCAUGUCUCAGUACAAGCCGUCCUGUACGGUGAAACCGCGAAAGGCUCAUUAAAUCAGUUAUGGUUCCUUAGAUCGUACCCACGUUACAUGGAUAACUGUGGUAAUUCUAGAGCUAAUACAUGCCGACAGAGCUCCGACCAGCGUAUCGUCGUUUCGGCGGCCGUUCGGAAGGAGCGCUCUUAUUAGAUCAAAACCG
rnacentral:rRNA from 1 species